rnacentral:rRNA from 1 species
GACGAACGCUGGCGGCGUGCCUAAUACAUGCAAGUUGAGCGCUGAAGGUUGGUACUUGUACCAACUGGAUGAGCAGCGAACGGGUGAGUAACGCGUGGGGAAUCUGCCUUUGAGCGGGGGACAACAUUUGGAAACGAAUGCUAAUACCGCAUAAAAACUUUAAACACAAGUUUUAAGUUUGAAAGAUGCAAUUGCAUCACUCAAAGAUGAUCCCGCGUUGUAUUAGCUAGUUGGUGAGGUAAAGGCUCACCAAGGCGAUGAUACAUAGCCGACCUGAGAGGGUGAUCGGCCACAUUGGGACUGAGACACGGCCCAAACUCCUACGGGAGGCAGCAGUAGGGAAUCUUCGGCCAUGGACGAAAGUCUGACCGAGCAACGCCGCGUGAGUGAAGAAGGAUUUCGGAUCGUAAAACUCUGUUGGUAGAGAAGAACGUUGGUGAGAGUGGAAAGCUCAUCAAGUGACGGUAACUACCCAGAAAGGGACGGCUAACUACGUG